rnacentral:rRNA from 1 species
AGUGAACGCUGGCGGUAGGCCUAACACAUGCAAGUCGAACGGCAGCACAGUAAGAGCUUGCUCUUACGGGUGGCGAGUGGCGGACGGGUGAGGGAUACAUCGGAAUCUACUUUUGGUGGGGGGGCAACGGGGGGAACCUUACCGCAUACCCCCUAAGGCCUAACGGGGGAAAUCUGGGGACCUCGGGCCCUUGCCGAGUCCAUUGGCCGGAUGUCGGAUUAGCUAGUUGGGGGGGUAAAGGCCCACCAAGGCGACGAUCCGUAGCUGGUCUGAGAGGAUGAUCAGCCACACUGGAACUGAGACACGGUCCAGACUCCUACGGGAGGCAGCAGUGGGGAAUAUUGGACAAUGGGCGCAAGCCUGAUCCAGCCAUACCGCGUGGGUGAAGAAGGCCUUCGGGUUGUAAAGCACUUUUGUUGGGAAAGAAAAGCAGCAGGUUAAUACCCCGCUGUUCUGACGGUACCCAAAGAAUAAGCACCGGCUAACUUCGUG